GCACCCGUAGCUCAGCUGGAUAGAGCGCUGCCCUCCGAAGGCAGAGGCCAGAGGUUCGAAUCCUCUCGGGUGCACCA
rnacentral:tRNA from 17 species